AUGGGGUGCAAACGUUGCUCGGAAUCAUUGGGCGUAAAGCGCGCGUAGGCGGUUACUUAAGUUGGAUGUGAAAGCCCUCGGCUUAACCGAGGAAGUGCACCCAAAACUGAGUAGCUUGAGUACUAAAGAGGGUCGCGGAAUUCCCGGUGUAGAGGUGAAAUUCGUAGAUAUCGGGAGGAACACCGGUGGCGAAGGCGGCGACCUGGGUAGAGACUGACGCUGAGGCGCGAAAGCGUGGGGAGCAAACAGGAUUAGAUACCCUGGUAGUCCACGCCGUAAACGAUGGGUGCUAGAUGUUUCUGGUAUUGACCCCGGAGGCGUCGUAGCUAACGCGUUAAGCACCCCGCCUGGGGAGUACGGCCGCAAGGCUA
rnacentral:rRNA from 1 species